rnacentral:rRNA from 1 species
GCUGGCGGCGUGCCUAAUACAUGCAAGUCGAGCGGAGCACUUCGGUGCUUAGCGGCGGACGGGUGAGUAACACGUAGGCAACCUGCCUAUUAGACUGGGAUAACUAUCGGAAACGAUAGCUAAGACCGGAUAACUGGUUUUCUCGCAUGAGAGAAUCAUGAAACACGGAGCAAUCUGUGGCUGAUAGAUGGGCCUGCGGCGCAUUAGCUAGUUGGUAGGGUAACGGCCUACCAAGGCGACGAUGCGUAGCCGACCUGAGAGGGUGAACGGCCACACUGGGACUGAGACACGGCCCAGACUCCUACGGGAGGCAGCAGUAGGGAAUCUUCCGCAAUGGACGCAAGUCUGACGGAGCAACGCCGCGUGAGUGAUGAAGGUUUUCGGAUCGUAAAGCUCUGUUGCCCUAGACGAACAGCAAGGCGAGUAACUGCGCUUUGUGUGACGGUAUAGGAGAAGAAAGCCCCGGCUAACUACGUGCCAGCAGCCGCGGUAAUACGUAGGGGGCAAGCGUUGUCCGGAAUUAUUGGGCGUAAAGCGCGCGCAGGCGG